rnacentral:rRNA from 1 species
ACGGCGAGUGAAGCGGUAAAAGCUCAAAUUUGAAAUCUGGUACUUUCAGUGCCCGAGUUGUAAUUUGUAGAAUUUGUCUUUGAUUAGGUCCUUGUCUAUGUUCCUUGGAACAGGACGUCAUAGAGGGUGAGAAUCCCGUUUGGCGAGGAUACCUUUUCUCUGUAAGACUUUUUCGAAGAGUCGAGUUGUUUGGGAAUGCAGCUCAAAGUGGGUGGUAAAUUCCAUCUAAAGCUAAAUAUUGGCGAGAGACCGAUAGCGAACAAGUACAGUGAUGGAAAGAUGAAAAGAACUUUGAAAAGAGAGUGAAAAAGUACGUGAAAUUGUUGAAAGGGAAGGGCAUUUGAUCAGACAUGGUGUUUUUUGCAUGCACUCGCCUCUCGUGGGCUUGGGCCUCUCAAAAAUUUCACUGGGCCAACAUCAAUUCUGGCAGCAGGAUAAAUCAUUAAGAAUGUAGCUACUUCGGUAGUGUUAUAGCUUUUUGGAAUACUGUUAGCCGGGAUUGAGGACUGCGCUUCGGCAAGGAUGUUGG